rnacentral:rRNA from 1 species
AUUGAACGCUGGCGGCAGGCCUAACACAUGCAAGUCGCACGAGUGGCGGACGGGUGAGUAAUGUCUGGGAAACUGCCCGAGGGAGGGGGAUAACUACUGGAAACGGUAGCUAAUACCGCAUACCAUCGGAUGUGCCCAGAUGGGAUUAGCUAGUAGGUGGGGUAAUGGCUCACCUAGGCGACGAUCCCUAACUGGUCUGAGAGGAUGACCAGUCAACCUGGAACUGAGACACGGUCCAGACUCCGACGGGAGGCAGCAGGGGGGAAUAUUGAACAAUGGGCGCAAGCCUGAGGCAGCCAUGCCGCGUGUAUGAAGAAGGUCGGAGGGUUGUAAAGUACGUUCAGCGAGGAGGCGUUACUCGCAGAAUAAGCACCGGCUAACUCCGUGCCAGCAGCCGCGGUAAUUC